rnacentral:rRNA from 1 species
AGAGUUUGAUCAUGGCUCAGGAUGAACGCUGGCGGUACGUCUGACACAUGCAAGUCGAACGGUAAGCCACCUUCGGGUGGCCUAGAGUGGCGAACGGCUGAGUAACACGUAGGAACCUACCCCUCAGUUCGGGACAACGGGACGAAAGCCCCGCUAAUACCGGAUGAUAUCGAAAGAUUGAAAGGUUUACUGCUGAGGGAGGGGCCUGCGGGCUAUUAGCUUGUUGGUGGGGUAACGGCUCACCAAGGCGAUGAUGGCUAGCUGGUCUGAGAGGAUGAUCAGCCAGACUGGGACUGAGACACGGCCCAGACUCCUACGGGAGGCAGCAGUUCAGAAUCUUGCACAAUGGGCGAAAGCCUGAUGCAGCGAUACCGCGUGGGUGAAGAAGGCCCUCGGGUCGUAAAGCCCUGUCAGAGGGAAAGAUAAUGACGGUACCCUCUAAGGAAGCCACGGCUAAUUACGUGCUAGCCGCCGCGGUAAUA